rnacentral:rRNA from 1 species
CACGGAGUUAGCCGGAGCUUAUUCUCCCGGUACUGUCAUUAUCAUCCCGGGUAAAAGAGCUUUACAACCCUAAGGCCUUCAUCACUCACGCGGCAUUGCUGGAUAAGGCUUUCGCCCAUUGUCCAAUAUUCCCCACUGCUGCCUCCCGUAGGAGUCUGGGCCGUGUCUCAGUCCCAGUGUGGCUGAUCAUCCUCUCAGACCAGCUAAGGAUCGUCGCCUUGGUAGGCCAUUACCCCACCAACUAGCUAAUCCUACGCGGGCUCAUCCUUGGGCGAUAAAUCUUUGGUCCGAAGACAUCAUCCGGUAUUAGCAGUAAUUUCUCACUGUUAUUCCGAACCCAAGGGCAGAUUCCCACGCGUUACGCACCCGUGCGCCACUAUCCCCGAAGGGAUCGUUCGACUUGCAUGUGUUAGGCAUGCCGCCAGCGUCGUUCUGUAGCCACGGAGUCAAACUAC